AUGGAAAGUCAAAUGGACACAGUGCCUGCCAGUUUUAUGGAACUACUAAACAUGGUUGAACAUCCUAUUACAAAUUUCAAUCAACCGAAUACUGAAAACUCAAUACCUGAAGAGAGUUCAUGUUAUUCUGAUAGACCUUAUUUCUCCGAAGACAAUGAUGUACUUUCCAGACCUAACCUAAGGGUUGAAACUUGUGAUUAUGUCGAUGACUCAAACGAAGUAGAGUCACGUCUACAAUGUAGGAAAGACACUGUCGAACUUCCAGAUAAGAUGUUUAUGCCCGAAAAUCUAGAUGAGAACUAA
rnacentral:rRNA from 1 species